GUGGAGAACCCUGGAAGCUGUGCUGGUGGGCCCAGCCCCAGGGUGGGGAGGUCCCCGGGCACCCCCUUGCCUUGCUUUUGCCCCCCUGCUAUCCUGGAGGUGGGUAACAGCCUCCCGGUGAGGGCACUGGAAGGAGGUACUGCCAGCAGCACAACAGAGGAGGAGGAGGAAGAAGAGGAGGAGGAAGAAGGAGCUGGGGAACAGCCGUGGCAGCGAGGGCUCCCCCAAGCACGAUGCUCUUCAAAGUUUCUCAAGAGGCCUCAGCCGCUCUUUCAAGGUACAAGCGCCCCGAAGCCAGGAUGAUGUGGUCCCAGUAUGGCCCACACGCUGGGGUCACCGUGACCACAGCUCCAGUUUUGGGUAUUUUCAUUUGCCUGGGUACACUCCUGCAAUCCAGCACGUCUCAGGCAAGCUGCAAAGCCCUGCUCGGUGGUGGUGACUCACUCAGGUUCCCAAUGGGAAGGUCAUUGCUCCUGGCAGGCUCCGACAGCCUGGAGGCAAAUCAGAACUUGGCAGGGAGAAGAUGCACGAGGUCCACCCAAGCAAUCCAUCAGAAACGGAACUUCGCUCUAUCCAGGUAGAAGCAUCAGAAGAGGAAAAGUGUUUCUGUAACCUGGGUGUCCUUGGUCAACCUCCCCCUGUCCUGUUAUUUCCUCAUUAAAAAAGAAGGGACAAGAACAAAAGCUGCACAUGGAGGCCAAGCGAAUGUAGAUGUGAAGAGCACUUCAAACAGCUUCAUCCUUUCAACAAACCUUUUAUCAGCCUUCUCUCCUCCCCAACACAAACUCUUUUUUUUAAUCAUUAGUGAAAAGUUGCUGUUUAGAAAGCAAGUACACAGCUCGGGGUACAUGCGGUAUUAUCAGCGCAGGCAUUUCCCAGGAGAAGCCAGAGAGCCUGAGCCCAAGGUCUUCUGGACUCGACAGUGCCAUGGUGCAAGCAGCAGCCCUGAGGACUGGCACAGCUCAGCAGUGUGGUGGGGCUGUGGGCAGAGCACAGGGGACAGCAGGCCUGUAAUGGCAUGCCCAGGCUGGCACACUGCAUCUGCCGCUGAAGAUGCCAGUGACCCUCCUGCCAGGCACCCCAGCCCGAAACCGGAGUCACUCUGGAGCAGAAUUGGACAAGGAACCAUUUAAAAUCAUUUUGGAGCCAGAUUUAGCCAGUCAUCCUGGCCGCAGCCCAUACUUUUUGGCUGUACUGCUGCUCAUGUUAGUGCCCCCGUGGUGCUGGCACGCCGGGCAUGUGGAAAACGCCAAACGCUCCGAAACCUCCUGGCCACCUCCGGAGAAAAACGCGCAGCACAAAGCAGCUUCUCCUGUGCAACCUCCACCUGACAUUAUGGGGGCACAGCGAGCUUUAUACCGCUUGGCAGGUUCCACCCAGCAGAUCUCAAAGCUGCUUGCCAGCCCGAGCGAGUUCAGGCAUGUUACAGAAGACCUUCAGAGUCAGAGGACAAAUGAGAUGCGUGGAUGAGUUCAAACCACCGGGGUAAGACCAGGGUUUUGAAAUCCCCAGGCUUGUGCCUUGACACUACGCUUGGGCUGUGGCCCAGACUGUCCAGCUGCCAGCCUGGCAUGGAUACCGGGCCCCGUGAUGGUCCUGCUGAUAUCCCUACUUGUUAAAAAUUGGCUUCCAAACCAAAGCAGGAGGUGUCGCAUCCUCCUCAAAAAUCCACCCUCCGCUCCGUCUAGGAGCAGGGUGCAGAACGACUCUUCACUGAGACACCAUGACUCGUGGUGUUGGCAGGAUGGUGUAUUUGUGUCACGAGAUGAGAUCAGCCACACGGAGUAGGUCUGUCUGUCUGGAAAUAGUCUGAGUCAAGCGUGUCCUAUUAAAUUAGGGCUGCAAUUUUUCAAAGGAGCUCAGCUCCCGCUCAGGCACUGUAACAAACAGGCAGAUCCUCAAAAGGAGUCGGACGUGUUGGGUCAUACUGGCUGCUGAGCUGAAGUCCUUUGAAUAUCCAGCCAAAACCAUCACCGUGCCUGUUGCUACAGGCAGAGCCCUUCUGAAAUCCAGCCCCACCAUGGGCUCCACAUCCUGGGAAACCCGGCUCAUCCCUGCUCUCCCACAUAUUGCACUGCAGUGGGUGACGCAACUGCGAUAGCCACCGCGUC